rnacentral:rRNA from 1 species
AGUGAACGCUGGCGGUAGGCCUAACACAUGCCAGUCGAACGGCAGCACAGUAAGAGCUUGCUCUUACGGGUGGCGAGUGGCGGACGGGUGAGGAAUACAUCGGACUCUACUUUUUCGUGGGGGAUAACGUAGGGAAACUUACGCUAAUACCGCAUACGACCUACGGGUGAAAGCAGGGGAUCUUCGGACCUUGCGCGAUUGAAUGAGCCGAUGUCGGAUUAGCUAGUUGGCGGGGUGAAGGCCCACCAAGGCGACGGUCCGUAGCUGGUCUGAGAGGAUGAUCAGCCACACUGGAACUGAGACACGGUCCAGACUCCUACGGGAGGCAGCAGUGGGGAAUAUUGGACAAUGGUCGCAAGCCUGAUCCAGCCAUACCGCGUGGGUGAAGAAGGCCUUCGGGUUGUAAAGCCCUUUUGUUGGGAAAGAAAAGCAGCAGGUUAAUACCCCGCUGUUCUGACGGUACCCAAAGAAUAAGCACCGGCUAACUUCGUG